rnacentral:misc_RNA from 1 species
GUACCCUCAAGCCUAGCUUGGUGUUGGGUGUUUGUCUGCGCCCUUGCGCGCAGACUCGCCUUAAAACAAUUGGCAGCCGGCACAUUGGCCUGGAGCGCAGCACAUUUUGCGCGCCUUGCCUUGGUUGUUGGCAUCCACCAAGAUCUUUUUAGC